AUUGCGAGCUUCUGAAAGUUUGAGAUACUCCAGCUACCUAGAACAGUUAGAAUAGAAAUAUGGUGGCUACCAGUAAAGGUGAAGUUGAUCAGGUUGCAGAAGUAGAACCACAUUAUGAUCGACAGAGUGAACUACAAGCAUUUGAUGAAACCAAGGCUGGUGUUAAAGGGCUUGUUGAUGCUGGCAUUACCAAGGUGCCUCGGAUAUUCAUUCAACCGCAAUGUAGCUUAGAUGACGGUCUCAAUGGCACCAAAGGAAUCUUCAAAUUUCCUGUCAUCGAUCUGGAUGGUAUUGAUACAGAUCCAGCCAGGCGCAAAGAGAUAGUUGACAAGGUUAGAGAUGCAUCAGAAACAUGGGGUUUCUUUAACGUGGUAAAUCAUGGAAUUCCUUUCAGUGUCCUGGAGGAGAUGAUUCAAGGCGCGCGUAGAUUUUUCGAGCAAGAUACUGAGGUUAAGAAACAGUGGUAUACAAGGGAUUAUACAAAAACAGUGGUGUACAACUGCAACUUUGAUUUACACAUUUCACCAGUAGCCAACUGGAGGGAUACAUGUUAUUGCUACAUGGCUCCUAAUCCUCCAGCUCCAGAAGAAUUGCCUGAUGCUUGCAGGUAGAUUUCUCAGGGAUCUUCUUUUCUUUGCCUUGUAUGACAAGUGUGGUCUGAAAAUUACUAGAAUAAGGGCCAGUGGCCACUAUUCUGGUGAUUAGAUGGUAGUAUUAAUUGACAAUGAAUCUUUAAGACAUAUCUAAUUUCUAGUUAUGAAGUGGAAAAAGAUUGAGCUGCUGGAAGUUAUAGUUAACUUAAAUCAACUCUUGUUCCUGUUAAACUAUAUCUGAUUACUCAUUUGAUGAAUUCGACUACAGUGAAAUCGUGAUAGAAUACUCAAAGCUAGUGAUGAAGUUAGGCUGCUUAUUGCUCGAAUUUCUGUCAGAGGGCCUUGGACUCAAUCUAAGCUACCUCAAAGACAUUGAUUGUGCAGAGGGGCUUGCUGUACUAUGCCAUUACUAUCCACCGUGUCCACAGCCAGAACUUACCUUAGGCACCAGCAAGCAUUCUGACAACGGCUUCAUCACAGUCCUCCUCCCAAGGCAAUUUAGGUGGAGUUCAAGUACUUCAUCAAAAUCAGUGGAUUGAUGUUCCUUCUACACCUGGAGCUUUAGUGAUCAACAUCGGAAAUCUUUUGCAGGCGAGCCUGUGAUUUAUUGAUUUCCUGUUUUGUACUGCUAUAUUCUUGAAAUAAGGUUGUAACAAACAAGUGCAUUAUGAUGUGGCCAGUUAUGACAUCAUUUCCAUUGUUUCGGUUGGUAAAUUUUUAGUCUUUGGUUGUGAAUUAUAUACUCAUAUCUAAUGACAAGUAAACCUAGAAUUUUGGCUAACAGAGUCAGUCCUAGAGUAUCAGUAGCAAGCUUUUUAGCUACCGGUCCAAGGCCAAUAACAAAGGUUUAUGGACCUAUCAAGGAGUUGUUAUCAGAUGACAAUCCACCUAAAUAUCGAGCAACAACAGUGAAGGAAUAUACAGAUUACUUCCGUGCCAAAGGGCUUGAUGGCACUAAUGCCCUUCUGCAUUUCAAGCUUUAAACAUGUGAACAAAACAACAAAGAUUAGCCCGUGAAUUUCUAAAGAAUGAGAUUAUGUCUAUAAUAAAGAUUGUCACUUCACAGAAACUGCCCACUUUGUGUGCUCUAGUAACUGGCAAAAUAAAUUGCUGUUUGAGUCAAAUAAAAAAGUUUCUAGUUUCCAAGAGUUUUUUGGAGUUUAUAUCAAGUUCAUAGUAUUGAGUUUCUUUCUCUCAACCGUACUUGUACUUGUCUGUUACCCUAUCCAGACACAUUUAAAAAAAAAAAAAAAAUUUACAGCAGGCUGGGAUUUAAGAAGCGGGGAGAGGAGCAGAGGAUUUGAACCCAGGAUUCUUUUUUCUAUUAAACCAUAGACAUCGUGAUCCUUAAAUCCGCAUCUGCUUUUUGACAUAUAAAUUGCAUUUUGUGUGCGCGGGGGGAUGCAUUGCUUUCAGGCCAUAUCAAUGACGAGUUUUCACUGUAGAGCAUAGUGUAAUGGCAAAUAACAUUGGUCGAAGAAUAUCAGCGGCAUGCUUUUUCUUUAACAUUGAUAUAUGGCCUUUUGCAAUAUUACAUGGACCGAUUGAGGACUUACUAACAGAAGAGAAUCCAAGAAAGCACAGGGCAACUACCAUGAAAGAUUAUGUGAUUUACUUCAACAACAAGAGACUUGAUGGAACUUCUGCGCUGUCGCAUUUCAGGCUUUAGACUAGAAAAAGGAUUCAGUAAUUAGUAAAUUAUAUGCAGCGUUUAUGUGCGCAAGAUUGUUAAAACUCUUUAGGCUUCUUUUUCAUCCUGAAAUAGUAAAUUUUGAAUGGGCAUGACCUUAUCAAAUUCGUUUCAGACAUCACUUUCCCUCCUCUCUUCAGAUUUUCUUGGUAUGCAGACUUCCUUUGGCUUUAUUUCACUUUGAUGUAUAAUAAAUUACUCUAUUCUAUCUAACUUGUAGCAGCUAUACAAUCUCUUCACGGCAACAUGCUAAAUCUCGGAAACAGCAUAAAAGAUUGUUUACUUGUGCAUUUUUACCUGCUCCCAUUAUUAAAUUUGUAGCUACUGCUACUUUAUGUGCAUGAUCUUUUCUCAUGAUCACGACAAAAGCCAAUAACUUCAAUGACGUGGUAGCCCCCAUUAGGCACAAAUAUGAGCCUGAGAAACUGAAACCUUGUUAAAAGUUGAAGAAACUUCCCAAAGCAAAGAAAAAUGGGGGCAACCAGCAAAGAUGAAGUUGCAGUUGAUGGUGCAGUGGAAUCUCAAUAUGAUCAAGAGAAGGAAAUACGAGCAUUUGAUGAAACCAAGGCCGGGGUUAAAGGGCUUGUUGAUGCCGGCAUUAACAAGUUGCCUCGAAUGUUCAUUCAUCGGGAAAGUGGCUCGGAGAAGAGUAUCAGUGCCUGGAAAGGAACUUUUAGCAUUUCAGUGAUUGAUCUGGAAGGUAUGGAUAAGGAUCCAGUAAGGCGCAAAGAGAUAGUUGACAAGGUUAGAGAUGCAUCUGAAAGAGGGGGUUUUUUCCAGGUGGUAAAUCAUGGAAUUCAAGUCAGUGUUCUGGAGGAGAUGAUACAAGGUGCACGAAGAUUUUUCGAGCAAGAUACUGAGGUUAAGAAGAAGUGGUAUACAAGGGAUCGUACAAAAAGGGUGGUGUACAACUGCAACUUUGAUCUGUAUAGUCCAACAGCAGCUAACUGGAGGGAUACAGCUUAUUGCUUCAUGGCUCCUAAUCCACCAGCUCCAGAGGAAUUGCCAGACGUUUGCAGGUAUUUUUUUGGCUGAACUCUUUUUUUUUUUCUUCAAAUGCAAAUAUUUUGUAUAAAUUAUAAAUUUUUUAGCUGUAACAAGAAACUUACCUAUUCUUGAUAUUUGGAAGAGCUUUAGUGAAAAUGAAUCCUUUGGUUUGAUUUACCAAAUCCAUGGGUUUAGUCAUUGGCACAAAAUUGAGCAUCUUAACUUUUUUUUUUUAACACCACCAUAAUGAUAAGUAGAAGGAAGAACAGUGGACUUUCUCUCGCAAUUGCAGUGAAUGCCAUUCAUAUCCAAGAUUUAGUCACAUCAGCUCAGUCCGAUUUGGGCUAAUCAUUUCAUUUUUUUUUUGAUUUAGAAAUAAAUGACGUAGAUGGGACCGAGCUUAUGUAGUGCGAUUGCACCUGCAAAAUUUGCCACCCCCUCCACCUAGGCUGCUGGUUUUAGGGAGUCCAAUAGUUGUAGCAGAGUAUUAACCACUAGGCUAUACUGCUUGUAGGUAAUUGCUUGUAUCCUAAUCACCUAGUUGAUAGCUGGUAUUAAAAGAUCUUUGAUUCUUUCUAUGGUUUUAAAUUUUGUGAUAAUGUCAAAAACGAAUUCUAAGGUAAUAAAUUCUAAUGUACCUACUAGUAAAUCUUAUUCGACAUUUCAUAAAUUUUUCUGCAGCAAAAUAUUGUUAGAGUACUCGAAGCAAGUGAUGAAUUUAGGUUGCUUAUUGCUUGAAUUGCUGUCAGAGGGUCUUGGACUCGAUCCAAGCUACCUAGAAGGCAUUGAUUGUGGAAAGGGGCUUGCUGUCCUAUGCCAUUACUAUCCGGCAUGCCCCCAACCAGAACUUACCUUUGGCACCAGCCCGCAUUCAGACAAUGACUCCUUCACAAUCCUUCUCCAAGACAAUUUAGGUGGCCUCCAGGUACUUCAUCAGAAUCAGUGGGUUGAUGUUCCUCCAACACCUGGAGCUUUAGUAAUCAACAUUGGAGAUCUUCUACAGGCAAGCCUUUGAUUUAUUGAUUUUCCAACACUUUUGGAAUGCAUAAACAAUCUUUGUUAUCUGGAGAUUUUCUGGAGGUUGUUUUGAAGUAUUUUUGGUUUUGAUUUCAUUUGGCUUAUUAAAUUUCAGAUUAUAUCAAAUGACAAAUACAAAAGCAGUGAACAUAGAGUUCUGGCGAACCGUGUUGGUCCUAGGGUGUCAAUCGCGAGCUUCUUCACACCUGAUGUAAGGGCAACUGGGAAGCUUUAUGGACCCAUCAAGGAGUUGUUAUCAGAAGAAAAUCCGCCAAAGUACCGCGAAACCACAGCAAAGGAAUAUACAGAUUACUCCCGUGCCAAAGGGCUUGAUGGAACUUCUUCUCUGUUGCAUUUCAAGCUCUGAGCUUGCAAACAGGAUAGUAAAGACUAGCCUGUAAAUCUGUAAUAAAAACAACUAUUCAGGAGGCCAUAACUCAUAUUUGGAGUUUAUAUGCUCCUGUUGAAUGUAUUGCAUGCUUUCCAAAAUGUGAAGGAUUCUGGCAAACUACAUUUUGAUUUGUGAAAACCGUGUGCAUUAUGAUGUUUAAUGAUUGGCAUAUCAUUUCUCGGAAUUGUCCAUGUCCAUUUCCUUUUUCAGACAAAGUGUUAUGUGAACUCUUUAAGGAAGUUUCAAAGUAUAGCACGGUGCUGUAAUAUCCUCUAGAAUCAAUGCCAAAAGCCAAUGAUGUGGAGCAACUACUAGGCUAAAAUGCUCAACCACCAGUAAUUUCACACUGCAGGACCUUCUGCUCUACAAGAUUUCGGACUUUGGAAAUUGGAACCUUAACAAAUUUCUGCGAAUAAUUAGAAGAUUAUGUAUGCUUUAACUAUUUCUAGGGCCUACAGGCUACCUGCAGCAUGAAAUUGUUUCCACAAACAUUUACCUUUAUUCCCAAAUUGGAUGCCUCGUAUUAGUGAUCUUUUCCACUGAAACUGUCUCAACUGAAAAAUUUUUCUUUCUCAAAGAAAAACACAGACAUACCAAUAUUGUGUGGCUAAAAUCCUUCAAGAUGGCGGUCACAUUAUGUAUAUGCUGCAUUAGUUGGACUAAUCCUAGAGACGGGAUGAUUAUGACUUUUCAAGUUACUUUCACACAUAUUUGCUUUCUUAAUCAGUCUUUCUAAACUUCUAACUUGUUUUUAAUCAGAUCCUUUAUCUUACCACAAAAAAAAAAAAUGAAAGAAUAAAAAAAAUAAAAAUUAAAUGUCCUGUUGCUUUCUGCUUUUAAGCACCUAAAAUUGGAGCUAUUUCAAAAUUUGACAUCUUCUAUUGUAAGUGUGUAUGUAAAUGUGUACUUUUUUUAUGUUCUACAAACAAUAAUAUCUAUUUGGGAUAAUUUUAAAAACCUCCCCUGAGAUUUCUAACAAUUUCACUAGCCUCCCUUAAAGUUUACAAAAUUACACAAACCUCCCCUGAAAUUAAGGUUUUGAUAACAAAAUUAGUCCAAUUAGAAAAAGCAACAUUAAAAAGGUAUUUUAAGAAGAGAGAUGAACCUUUUAUUUCAUAAGCACCCCUUUUACAUGUAUAUAAGUUGUAUUAUUAAAAGAAUAAAAAUAGUUAAAAGUUAGAAACAAUUAAUAUACACAUUUCAUCACUCAAAAAGUUCACAUUUAAUAAAUUAGACAACACAAAUAAGCAACAAAACUAUACAAUGAUCAUAAGAUUUAGCAAAAUAGAUUAGUCAUCUCUUUUAGCAUGAUUUUUGUUAUGAUUCUUGUGAUUUUGAACAAAAAAAUUUUCAAAUUUUGUCUUCUUUUCCCUCCUUUCUUAUUUACUUCCACGAAAUUAUUUUACAACUAUUACAGUUUCAAGAGUUUCAAAGAAAAUAUCCUUAUGAACAACAUUCUUUUGCCCUAUAUUUUUUUCUUCUACCAAAAGCCUUCUUCUCACAUUGCGUAUAACUAAUUUUUGGUUAUUGUCAAAUUCUAUUAAUCACAAAAUAGCACCAUUAGUUAUAUCAAUUGGUGUUAUUUUAUAAUUGCAAGUCAUCUUCAUCAUUACAGAAAUUUUCAACAAUUUUUUUCAUUAAUUAGUUAUUAAUAGUUAAUUAAUAUUCUAAUUACUUAAUCGUCAGAUAUUAUUAAAGAAGAAAGGAGGGAAAACAAAAGCAAAAAUUUGAAAAAUUUUUCUAUUCAAAAUCAUAAGAAUUAUAGCGAACAUCAUGUCAAAAAAGAUGACUAAUUUGUAUUGUUGAAUCUUGUGAUAAUUCGUGUAGUUUUGUUGCUUCUUUAUGUUGUUUAAUUUAUUGAAUGUGAAUUUUUUAAGUGGUAAAACGUGUUUAUUAAUUGUUUCUAACUUUUAAUUAGUUUUCAUUUUUUUACUAAUACAACUUAUAUACAUGCAUAAAGGAUAUUUAUGGAAUAAAAGUUUCAUCUCCUUGUUUAAAGUACAUUUUUAAUGUUGUUUUUUCUAAUUAGACUAAUUUUGUUAUCAAAACAUUAACCUUAGGGGAGGUUUGAGCAAUUUUGCAAACUUUAGGGGAGAAUAGUGAAAUUGUUAGAAACCUUAGGGGAGGCUUCUGAAAUUAUCCCUAUCUAUUUUGGUUGAACUUGUGGAUGCUAGGUUAACCAAUCAUUAAGAUAAUAACAAGUCUCUCUCCUUAUAGUCUUCCACUUGUCCUUUAUUACGAGCUUCUGAAAGUUUGAGAUACUCCAGCUACCUAGAACAGUUAGAAUAGAAAUAUGGUGGCUACCAGUAAAGGUGAAGUUGAUCAGGUUGCAGAAGUAGAACCACAUUAUGAUCGACAGAGUGAACUACAAGCAUUUGAUGAAACCAAGGCUGGUGUUAAAGGGCUUGUUGAUGCUGGCAUUACCAAGGUGCCUCGGAUAUUCAUUCAACCGCAAUGUAGCUUAGAUGACGGUCUCAAUGGCACCAAAGGAAUCUUCAAAUUUCCUGUCAUCGAUCUGGA
rnacentral:lncRNA from 1 species